GGAGGGGGUGGGAGAGCCCGGGGGCAGGAGAUGGAUUUUGAUUCAGCAUUGACCUCACCUAGGAAGAUACCAGUUAAGAUCCACAAAGGAAAUCCUGAUGUUCCAACCAGAUCCAGUAGGCAGAAGCCAGAUGUGCGCAGGACAUGGGGACAAGAGAAGCUUCCUGUACAAACCCUGCAUUGAAACUCUACUAGAACAGUCACAAAGGGGUAUACGGAAUGGUCAUUCUAGAGGACUCUCCGAAGUGAGUGUGAAGUUCAGCAGCUGCAAAAAGAAGGCCCACCCCAUCCUCCAGUCAAGAGGAACAUUCCAUUUGGAUGUCAGAAACUUCACCUGCAGGUCAAAGCCUCAAUGAGACCUGGAGACAUGAAUCCUGGGUACAGUCAGCAAUCUUCAUCCCCUGCACCUGGUGACAAGGGACCAACUCAUAGGGCAGAGUUGGGCAGUCACCAGCUCAGCAUGUAAGCUGUACAUGUAUCUGACAAGGGUAUGGGUGACUAUGGACCAGGGAGUGGGUAACUGUGACCACAUGAUACCAGAUGAUCAUGGAAUCUCCCUCUUC